rnacentral:rRNA from 1 species
AUUGAACGCUGGCGGCAGGCCUAACACAUGCAAGUCGAGCGGAGCGGCGGACGGGUGAGUAAUGCCUAGGAAUCUGCCUGGUAGCGGGGGAGAAAGUCCGGAAACGGGCGCUAAUACCGCAUCCUAUCAGAUGAGCUUAGGUCGUAUUGGCUAGUUGGUGGGGUAAAGGCAUACCAAGGGGACGAUCCGUAACUGGUCGGAGAGGAUGAUCAGUCACACGGGAAAGGGGACCCGUUCCAGAUUCCUACGGGAGUCAGCAGUGGGGAGUAUUGGACAACGGGCGAAAGUCUGAUCCGGACAUUGCGCGUGUGGGAAGAAGGUCUUGGGAUUGUAAAGCACUUUAAGUUGGGAGGCGUGACCAACAGAAUAAGCACCUGCUAACUUCGUGCCAGAAGCCGCGGUAAUAC